AGAGUUUGAUCAUGGCUCAGAACGAACGCUUGCGGCGCGUUUUAAGCAUGCAAGUCGAGCGGUAAAGGUUCUUCGGAACCUUGAGAGCGGCGAACGGGUGAGUAACACGUAGGUAAUCUGCCUUCGGAUUGGGGAUAGCUCAUGGAAACAUGGGGUAAUACCGAAUAAGAGCUUUUUCACAUAUGUGAUGAAGCUGAAAGACGCUGAGGCGUCGUCCGAAGAUGAGCCUGCGGCUCAUUAGCUUGUUGGUGGGGUAACGGCCUACCAAGGCAACGAUGAGUAGCCGGCCUGAGAGGGUGACCGGCCACACUGGGACUGAGACACGGCCCAGACUCCUACGGGAGGCAGCAGCUAAGAAUCUUCCGCAAUGGGCGCAAGCCUGACGGAGCGACGCCGCGUGAACGAUGAAGGCCGGAAGGUUGUAAAGUUCUUUUAUACAUGAGGAAUAAUGCGAAGAGGGAAUGCUUUGCAGGUGACGUUAGUGUAUGAAUAAGCCCCGGCUAAUUACGUGCCAGCAGCCGCGGUAAUACGUAAGGGGCGAGCGUUGUUCGGAUUUAUUGGGCGUAAAGGGCGCGUAGGCGGUUUUGCAAGCCUGGUGUGAAAGACCUCAGCUCAACUGAGGGACCGCAUUGGGAACUGUGAGACUAGAGUGUAAGAGGGGAAGCUGGAAUUCCUAGUGUAGGGGUGAAAUCUGUAGAUAUUAGGAAGAACACCGGUGGCGAAGGCGAGCUUCUGGCUAUACACUGACGCUGAUGCGCGAAAGCGUGGGGAGCGAACAGGAUUAGAUACCCUGGUAGUCCACGCCGUAAACGUUGUGCACUAGGUGUUGGGUUGUUUAGACUCAGUGCCGUAGCUAACGCGUUAAGUGCACCGCCUGGGGAGUAUGCCGGCAACGGUGAAACUCAAAGGGAUUGACGGGGGCCCGCACAAGCGGUGGAGCAUGUGGUUUAAUUCGAUGAUACGCGAGGAACCUUACCAGGGCUUGACAUAUACAGGAAUGUUGUAGAGAUACAGCAGCCGCUUGCGGCUUGUAUACAGGUGCUGCAUGGUUGUCGUC
rnacentral:rRNA from 1 species